ACGGGUGAAAACCCGGAAGUAGCCCUUGAUCGCCAAGGCUGAUGUUGGCGUGGGCGUUGCCAGGGCAACGGCCCUGCAUCCACGCCCCUUGCCUUGUAAAAAGCCUCCGGGAGGCACUGCCCGCCUGGGGUGGAGCAGUGGAGUUCAUGUGCACGUACCACAAAGGCUGUUCAAACGCACUGAAACAGUAAGCCACUCGUUCAUGUGACUACACAGUGAGGAGGCCUAUUAUAUCACUGUAUUGGGAGUGGCUGAGAAAUAACUUCUCCCACAGAUGUGGGAGGAUUCAGUGUGGAAUCCUAUGAUUUCAUGGAUCAAAUGGCUUCCGAGGGCUGCACCUGGAGUGAUUCACUGAAGGAAAAGUCUUUCCCAAAGAGAAUAAUAAACCUGAAGAAACUGGAGUAAAGUCUUGCUGUAACCUAAAUGUACAUAAUGGUUGUUGAUGAAGAUGUUGAACAAGACCGGACCCAGCAGUGACUCCUGGGAAACAAAAGUUACAGGCCUCCAACUAGAUUCUGUGCCACUGAUCACAGCACUCUGAGAUCUGCUAGUCAGUUCUCAAUCCACCUCACUGCCUACUAAUCUCUACCGCACUUCCUGAGAUUACCUAUGAGGACGUUAUGGGAGACUGUCAAAAGCCUGAUGAUGUAUAAAUUCCAAGUUGCCUUUAAAGCAAAGGCUGAGCUACCAAAUGCUAUAGUAAACUCUGAAAUAUGAUUUAGAGUGUUAAAUAACUUAAUAUCUUUUGAAAUUUUUGCCUGCCACCAAUAAAAUGGUUGGGUUCUAUGUGAAAAAGGAGGUUUAACAUCAUUUCAUGAGUUCCUGAACUUUUUGGCUUAUGACUUGUUCAGGCAACUAUAACUUUCAAACAGAAAUGACACUUUUCAAAUCCUCUUUUUGCAGAAUUCAGCACUGGGACUUUCUGUUUAUAGCAAAGAAUGAGUGAACUUUGCUAGACUUAUGAACUUCCCCAGGGAUAUCUAAUGCAAAUCCUAUCAUGAUAUUUGGAAACUGAGGACUAAAUUAUGCUUUUGAGUGCAGAGGAUUUCUAAAUAUCUUCAUUUUGAUUCAGAGAGAAGUAUAGUAACCAAUGAAUGGGGUAUGCAUUCCACAAAAAAUAAAUUUCUCCCAUAGCUAAAGUCAAAACUUGAGUUACUAUCACUUUUUAAACACUGAAGCCCAGCUUUUUGGCAAAAAGAUAAUUACUUCCAUAUCAGAUCUUUGUAUUCCAAGAAGCAGAAAUUCACUCUGCCAAAAUCUCCUUCUCCUGUGAUGGCACUGCAACAAAGUAAUACGUUCUCAUUGUAAAAAGCAUUGUGGACAAUUACAGUGAAAAUAUAUCUGUCCCAGUGUCCUCAAGUAUCUUUCAAUAAUCCUAGUCAAAACUGCUUUUUUGACCUAUCACCUACUGAUGAUGGUGAUCCUUCAUAGUGAAAAUACUAAUGGUAAAAAAAUGAGUUCCAUUCUUAAUUGUGUAGAAGAAAGUAACUCAUAGGUUGUGGUAUUUCUAAAGCCAGCUGACUGAGGAGAAAAAUAUUUGUUUGGAUGUCGCAGACAGAGCUUGGAUCUAUCCUAAU